UGGGGAAUUUUCCGCAAUGGGCGAAAGCCUGACGGAGCAAUGCCGCGUGGAGGUGGAAGGCCUACGGGUCGUCAACUUCUUUCUCGGAGAAGAAACAAUGACGGUACCUGAGGAAUAAGCAUCGGCUAACUCUGUCCCAG
rnacentral:rRNA from 1 species